rnacentral:rRNA from 1 species
UACGUAGGGUGCGAGCGUUACUCGGAAUUACUGGGCGUAAAGCGUGCGCAGGCGGUUAUGCAAGACAGAUGUGAAAUCCCCGGGCUCAACCUGGGAACUGCAUUUGUGACUGCAUGACUAGAGUACGGCAGAGGGGGAUGGAAUUCCGCGUGUAGCAGUGAAAUGCGUAGAUAUGCGGAGGAACACCGAUGGCGAAGGCAAUCCCCUGGGCCUGUACUGACGCUCAUGCACGAAAGCGUGGGGAGCAAACAGG